UACGAAGGGUGCAAGCGUUACUCGGAAUCACUGGGCGUAAAGCGUGCGUAGGCGGUUUCUUAAGUCUGUCGUGAAAGCCCUGGGCUCAACCUGGGAAUGGCGAUGGAUACUGGGAAGCUAGAGUGUGAUAGAGGAUGGUGGAAUUCCCGGUGUAGCGGUGAAAUGCGUAGAGAUCGGGAGGAACACCAGUGGCGAAGGCGGCCAUCUGGAUCAACACUGACGCUGAGGCACGAAAGCGUGGGGAGCAAUCCGG
rnacentral:rRNA from 1 species